ACCAACAUGGAGCUUCACAACCCUUUUUCUAAUAUCAUCUUCAUGCUCUCCUUUCUCAUCCUCUUAGUGCUAUUCAAAAUAGUUAAAAGAUGGAGUUUUAACAAUUCCACUACCAAAUUGCCACCUGGACCAUGGGAACUACCCCUCAUAGGAAACUUACAUCAGAUUAUCAGCAGAUCAUUGCCCCAUCACCGCUUCAAAAUUUUGGCUGAUAAAUAUGGACCUUUAAUGCACCUUAAACUAGGAGAGGUACCAUACAUAAUAGUUAGUUCACCAGAAAUUGCCAAAGAGAUUAUGAAAACACAUGACCUUACCUUUAGUGAUAGGCCAAACCUUCUUUUGGCCACAAUAUUAACUUACAAUGCUACUGAUGUUAUAUUCUCUAAAUAUGGAGAACGGUGGAGGCAACUACGAAAGAUAUGUGUUGUAGAGCUAUUAAGUGCAAAGCGUGUCCAAUCAUUUAGGUCCACAAGAGAAGAUGAAGUAUCAAAUCUUGCUACAUCAAUAACUGCAAGUGAAGGAUCAAUUGUUAAUCUCACUCAUAAGAUUUUCUCAAUGACAUAUGGGAUAACAACGCGGGCGGCUUUUGGCAAAAGGAGCAAACACCAGCAAUCGUUUAAAUCAGCAGUAGAGGAAAUAGUAAGUUUGUUGGGAGGCAUUUGUAUUGUUGAUUUGUAUCCUUCUAUUAAAUUGCUUCAAUGCGUGAGUAGGGCGAAGGCCAAAAUGGAAAAACUUCACAAAGAGAUUGAUAUGAUAUUGCAAGACAUUAUCGACGAUCACAAAAGCAUUCACAAGGAAGAUAGCAAUGAAGAAUAUCUAGUAGAUGUUCUUCUCAAGAUUCAACAGGAAAAUUAUCACUCACAACAUCCUUUAACCGAUGACAAUAUAAAGUCAAUCAUCCAGGUUAGUCAACAAUCAAAAGUGUUAGAAAGUUUAUUUCAAAAUUAAAAACUAGUUUAUAAAUUUGCAUAUAUGCUUAGAAGUCAGAUUUCCUAGAGGAAGAAAAUAAGAUUAUCUUGAUUAAUAAUAGUAUUUUGGUGAGAACAUCAUAUUAAUGACUUAACUUUUGUUUAGAGAAAUAGAUCGUGUUAAUGUUAAUCCAUUUGUAGGACAUAUUCGAUGCUGGUACCGAAACAUCGUCAACGACUGUGUUAUGGGCGAUAUCUGAGAUGGUAAAGAAUCCAAAGGUGAUGGAAGAAGCACAAGCUGAGGUAAGAAGAGUUUUUGAUAGGAAGGGGUUUGUGGAUGAGACAGAGUUGCACCAAUUGAUAUACUUAAAAUCUGUGAUCAAGGAAACAAUGAGGCUACAUCCAACCGUACCGUUGUUACUUCCAAGAGAAAGUAGGGAGAGAUGCCAAAUCAAUGGGUAUGAAAUCCCAGCUAAGACAAGGGUCAUGGUUAAUGCUUGGGCUAUUGGAAGAGAUCCAAGGUAUUGGGUUGAUGCUGAAAGUUUUAAACCUGAGAGGUUUGUUAAUAGUCCAAUUGAUUUCAAAGGCACAGACUUUGAAUACAUACCAUUUGGUGCUGGAAGAAGGAUGUGUCCCGGAAUUGCAUUUGCCUUACCCAACGUUGAAUUGCCUCUUGCUAGUUUACUUUACCACUUUGAUUGGAAGCUUCCCAAUAAAAUGAAGAAUGAAGAACUAGAUAUGACCGAGUCAUUUGGGAUUACUGCAGGUAGAAAGCACAAUCUAUGCUUAAUUCCUAUUACUCGUCGUCUUUAAUAUGUAUUGUCUAAGCAAACAAGUUCAGAAACGACGUUCCUAAUAAAAUUUGUAUUGGUUAUCUUUACGUAUAGGUUCACUAUAUGUUGUCUAAAAUUUGUGUAUGAUAUUUGUUCCACAAACAAAUAUAGAAUUUAUGUUGAAAGGAAGUUGCGAACUAUUUGUACAGUAUUGUGUAAUACAUUAACCAGAGAAGAAUCUUUUCCUUGACUGCCAAGGAAGAAAUCCACCUAAAAUCGAUAGCAUAUGAAGAAUGAAGAAGGGUUGUGAGGCAAUCAACAUCACACAAGUAACUUACCUUAAAAAAAUAGAGAAACAAUAAAUCAAUGAGAAGUAAUUAACAAUGCUUAUAUAGGACCAUAAUCAUAAAUAUAUAAAAAUGCUAAAUCCAUAUUAAUGGUUAUGAAAUCUAAUUCUUCCUCUCUGUUAAUCUUGUACUUUACACUAAUAGUGGUAGCUUUCCCUAUAUGGGUCUUAUAACAAUAACAUAAAAAACAUAAUGCUAUGUUCGCCAGUUCAUUUUUACAACAGAAGCAUUUGUAUCAUUAAAUCUAAAUAUGAAAAAGAACAUUCUUGGAGAAUCUUUGCAAAAAGGGUAGAUUAAAGGCUUGUUGAAUCCAAUGAAUUUUCCAGCACCAUUUCAAAGUUUUCAUUUAGUCCAAUGAGAGAUCAACAAUGCAUCAUUUACAAAAAUUGUAUAUUGAGAAUGUGAUAUAUAUAUAUACACGAUGCAAUAAACACUUGCCAACUGUAUUUUGAAAUCUUCGCUAUGCUAUCUCUCGCUGUAAAUAGCAUUUUCCUAUAAUUAAUUUGGCAUAAAAGUCUAAUCAUGAUUAUGUUUCGUGUGAUACAUGAGUGCUUGGAAAGAUUAGUGUUAGGAAAGAGUGAUAUUACAAAUGAGUGAAUCAACCCACUAAUGGGAUGGUUACAACCAUAUAUACUACUACAAGACUAAUACUAAUUGUGUCUAAACUAUAUCUCUAAUAAUUAGUGAUAGUUGAGAUGAAAGUUUUCUCAACUAUCAGAUCUUCUUUCUUAGAUCACCCUUUGAUCUUUACAUAAGAAAAAUGCUAUUUACAGCGAGAGAUAACAUAGCGAAGAUUUCUAGAUACAGUUGGCAAGUGUUUAUUGCAUCGUGUAUUUGUUUACUUCCUAUUUUUCAGCCACACCUCCUUGAAUUGUGUCAAAUAGCACAUUGUGAUUGGCUGCUCUUUAUUCUUGAAGAGAUCGUGAUGUUAUUUUUCUAGAGAUAUAGCAUUGCUCUUAAUUAUGUUCGCAUAGUAGCCCUGUCUCUUUUGAGGCAAGGGCGAGGGUUUGGUUGUUGCUCUCGUAGUUGCACUCUUAUCCUUUGAAGUUGAUAAAUGAAACCAACUUCAAUUGACAACAUAAUGAAAGCUCAACAGACAUAAGCAUAAGGUGUUUUGGAAAGUGGCCAUAGUCCAAAAUUAAUUCAGUUUUUUUUUUUAUUUCUUUUCCGGUAAGAAUGAUUGAUUUGGUGAUAAUGACAUGACAUAUAAUUACAAGUCUAACAAGACCCUAUUUGAAAAAAGAUAGAUUACCAAAUGGAGUGCUGAAAUCACUAGUGUCUUUUGGUUUAACUAUGUAGUGUUACUAUUAAUUUUUACUAUUUUUACACUAAGCUCUUCAAAAUGUUAGUGGAUGAUUUUUUCAUGUGCAUAAUACAAAAAAUAUGAAAUUUGCAUGAGUCAGCCUAAAAUUGAAAGGAUCAAUUUAAUAAGCCCUUGAAGACGGGAAGAUGACAAUCGAGUCUGGCAUGGUGUGCUGCAAUUUAAUUAACUCUUAAUCGCAAAUUAUUAAUGUGAUGGUGUUGUUUGUUUUAUUUUGACUCCACUAAGUACACCUUGUUCUUUAUAUGUGUGUGUCUUUCUACUAAGUUGCUUUGGAUUGGAUGGUAUCAAUAUUUUUUAAGUAUAUGUGCUUAGGUUGUUCUAUUUUUGACCACACAAAGCACACCUUAUGAUUCAUGUGUGUCUUUAUUAAAUUGCUUUGCAUAUAUUAAAAGAAAUAAAAAUAAACAACAGGCACAUGGUUGGUGCAAGGAGAAAAUGUUAUUUAACAUGUCUGCAUUAUAUUGAAAUUGCAAGUGAUCUAAUUUUGAGUGUUUUGCAUAGAAAUCUUCUUUGUCAAGGCACUCUUCAGAUUCUCUAGAUCAAGCUACCAUCAUGGAGCUUCAAAAUCCUUUUUCGAAUAUCAUCUUCAUUCUCUCCUUUCUCAUCCUCUUAGUUCUAUUCAAAAUAGUUCAAAGAUGGAGUUUUAACAAUUCGACUACCAAAUUGCCACCAGGACCAUGGAAACUACCCCUCAUAGGAAACUUACAUCAGAUUAUCAGCAGAUCAUUGCCCCAUCAUCUCUUCAAAAUUUUGGCAGAUAAAUAUGGACCUCUAAUGCACCUUAAACUAGGAGAGGUACCAUACGUAAUAGUUAGUUCACCAGAAAUUGCCAAAGAGAUUAUGAAAACACAUGAUCUCAACUUCUGCGACAGGCCAAACCUUCUUUUGUCCAAUAUAUAUAGUUACAAUGCUACAGACAUUGCCUUCGCUGCAUACGGUGAACAUUGGAGGCAAUUACGAAAGAUAUGUGUUAUAGAGCUAUUAAGUGCAAAGCGUGUACAAUCAUUUAGGUCCAUAAGAGAAGAUGAGGUGUCAAACCUUGUUAAAUCAAUAACUGCAAGUGAAGGAUCAGUUGUUAAUCUCACUCGGAAGAUUUUCUCAAUGACAAAUGGGAUAACAGCGCGGGCAGCUUUUGGGAAAAGGAAUAGACACCAAGAUGUGUUCAUACCAGCAUUGGAGAAAGUAGUGGUGCUAUUAGGAAGAUUUGAAAUUGCAGAUUUGUAUCCUUCUAUUAAAUUGCUUCAAUGGAUGACUAGGGAGAAGACCAAAAUGGAAAAACUUCAUACAGAGAUUGAUAUGAUAGCACAAGACAUCAUCGACGAUCACAGAAGUAUUCACAAGGAAGCAAGCAAUGAUGAAGAUCUAGUAGAUGUUCUUCUCAAGAUUCAACAGGAAAAUUAUCACUCAGAACAUCCUUUAACCGAUGACAAUAUGAAAUCAAUCAUCCAGGUUAGUCUAAACCGAAAGUGUUAGCAAGUUUAUUUCACAAUUUAAAAACUAGUUUACAAAUUUGCAUACGCUUAGAAGUCAGAUUUCUAGAGGAAAAAUAAAUAAGAUUAUCUUGAUUAAUAAUGCUCAUUCCGUCCCUAUAUCUAAGCAGUAAGCACCCUUUUAUUAGAGGGAAAGGGUGCUUACAUACAGGGACGGGGGGAGUAGUAUUUUGGAGAGACGUCAAAUUAAUGACUUAACUAUUGGGUAGCGUUGUAUGUAAUGUUAAUGUUAAUCCAUUUGUAGGACAUGUUCCUUGCUGGUACCGAAACAUCGUCACAGGUUCUGUUAUGGGCGAUGUCUGAGAUGGUGAAGAACCCAAAGGUAAUGGAAGAAGCACAAGAUGAAGUAAGUAGAGUGUUUGAUAAAAAGGAGUAUGUGGAUGAGACAGAGUUGCACCAAUUGAUAUACUUAAAGUCCGUCAUCAAAGAAACAUUGAGGUUGCAUCCCGUUGCACCAUUGUUAGUUCCAAGAGAAAGUAGGGAGAGAUGCCAAAUCAAUGGGUAUGAAAUCCCAGCUAAGACAAGGGUAAUGGUUAAUGCUUGGGCUAUUGGAAGAGAUUCAAGGUAUUGGGUUGAAGCUGAGAGUUUUAAACCUGAGAGGUUUGUUAAUAGUCCAAUUGAUUUCAAAGGCACGGACUUCGAAUUCAUACCAUUUGGUGCUGGAAGAAGGAUGUGUCCAGGUAUUUCAUUUGCCAUACCCAAUGUUGAGCUGCCUCUUGCUAAGUUACUUUAUCACUUUGAUUGGAAGCUUCCCAAUGGAAUGAGCCAUCAAGAACUUGAUAUGACUGAGUUUUUUGGGAUUACUGUAGGUAGAAAACACGACCUAUGUUUAAUUCCUACUACUCGUCGUCUUUAAUGUGUAUUAUCUAAGCAAACAAAUUCAAAAACAAUGUUCCUAAUAAAAUUUGUAAUGGUAAACUUUACAUAUAGGUUUACUAUAUGUCGUCUAAAAUUUGUGUAUGAUUGUACCACAAAUAUAGAAUAUGUGUCCAAGCAUUGCAUUUGGUUUAGCCAAUGUUGAACUGCGUCUUGCUGAAUUACUUUAUGACUUUGAUUGAAAGCUUUCCAAUGGAAUGAAUAAUGAAGAACAGUCGUUUGGGCUGACAGUCGGAAGAAAACACGACCUAUGUUCGUUUCCUAUUACAGGUUGUCUAUAAUAUUUGUAUUGUGCACUGCCUUUCAAAAAGAAAUAUUUGUAUUGUCUAACCAAAGAAGUUCACAAUGUGGUUAAUUAAUUACUUAUACUACUUUCUGCAAGGCGUCGUGUAAUUCGUUGUUCACAUUUUUAUUAAGAUUCUACGUUUGACAUUAGAUAACUUGAAAAUCCUGGGAUUUCUUCGGUUAAUCAGUUUGUUCCAACUCCUUCAUCAAAUCAAGAUAUGCCAAAGCAUUUGCAUCAUUUUGCACGCCUAUUUUAGUAUGUUUAAUUUGUAAGGAUUAAGAUUUCUCUCUCGGUUUUCUAUGUAGGACCACGAGAAAGAUGCAACUAAUUUCAUUUUUGUGUCAUGUCUCACUUGGUUCUCAGCAUUUGCAAACAUGCAUGUCGGUAAGUAUGUACGAGCAUGAAACAUUAUUCUUGUUAUUCAUUGCCUAUCCAAAAUAAAUAAAUAAAAUAGUUUUUGUAUUCUUUAAUGGGAAAUGCUAAUUAACUUGUCUAUUUAUGAAAUCUUUAACAUGAGUCAUAAGGGUACAAGUUAACAAGACCCUUCAUUAAUUUACCAAGCUUGUUUAAUGUUUUAACUUCAGGGGACACACAAGGAAUGCGGUGAAAGGAAUUUAGCAACAAAUUCAAAAUUCUUUGUGCUUUUGUACCCAAAUAAAUAGAUAUGUUUUUUUUACCUGAAAUCAUUAAAAUUUCAGGUAACGAUAAGUUAAUUAUUAAAGGAGUAAUGCUAGCAACACUCUUUUGAACACACUCUUUAAUACUACAUUUCUUAUUGGUUUAAAUCAUUGUGAGUCUACACUUUGAAAAUUGAACCUACACAAAGUGAUGGGACAUACAUUAAUUUCAUCUAAUAAAAGAGUGGAUGCUACAAAGAGUGUUCAAAAAUAAAUGUUUCUAACAUUACUAUUAUUGAUGUGUUGCCUCUUAUCUCAUUUUAAUAAAAAUCUCACCACUAGUUCAUAUACUUUACCACUAGUUUCUCACACUACACAUUCUAACACUAGGGUUUAUAAUAUCAUUCUGAUUCACGAACUAGUUAAAAGAUGUUGUUUUUUCAAGGGCGAGGGUUUGGUUGUUGCUCUCUUAGUUGCACUCUUAUCCUUUGAAGUUGAUAAAUAAAUGAAACCAAUUACUUCGAUUGAUUAUGAAAGCUCAAAAGACAUAAGUAUAAGGUGUUUUGGAAAGUGGCCCAUAGACCAAAAUUAAUUCAGAUUUUUUUUCCGGUAAGGGUGAUUGAUUUGGUAAUAAUGACAUAUAAUUACAAGUCUAGCAAGACCCUAUUUGAAAAUGAUAGAUUACCAAAUGGAGUUUAUCUGAAAUCACUAGUGUCUCUUGGUUUAACUAUGUAGUGCUAUUAUUAAUUCUUACAAAUAAUUUAUUUGACAUAAUGACCGAAGUAAAUAAUACAUUAAGCUCUUCAAAAUGUUUGUGGAUGAUUUUUUCAUGUGCAUAAUACAAAAAAUAUAAUUCCACAAAAAAAUUGAUAGGAUCAAUUCAAUUUAAUAAGCCCUUGAAGGAAGAUGACAAUCGAGUCUGACAUGGCGUGCUGCAAUUUAAUUAACUCUUAAUCGCAAAUUAUUAAUAUGAUGGUGUUGGACGUUUCAUUUUGACUCCACAAAGUACACCUUAUUCUUCAUGUGUGUCUUACUUUUUAUUAAAUUGCUUUGGACUGGUUGUUCUAUUUUUUACCACACAAAGCACACCUUAUGCUUCAUUUGUGUCUUUAUUAAAUUGCUUUGCAUAUAUUAAAAAAUAAUAAUAAACAACAGGCACAUGUUUGGUGCAAGGAGAAAAUGUUAUUUAACAUGUCUGCAUUAUAUUGAAAUUGCAAGUGAUCUAAUUUUGAGUGUUUUGCAUAGAAAUCUUCUUUGUCAAGGCACUCUUCAGAUUCUCUAGAUCAAGCUACCAUCAUGGAGCUUCAAAACCCUUUUUCGAAUAUCAUCUUCAUGCUCUCCUUUCUCAUCCUCUUAGUUCUAUUCAAAAUAGUUCAAAGAUGGAGUUUUAACAAUUCCACUACCAAAUUGCCACCAGGACCAUGGAAACUACCCCUCAUAGGAAACUUACAUCAGAUUAUCAGCAGAUCAUUGCCCCAUCACCUCUUCAAAAAGUUGGCAGAAAAAUAUGGACCUUUGAUGCACCUUAAACUAGGAGAGGUACCAUAUGUAAUAGUUAGUUCACCAGAAAUGGCAAAAGAGGUUAUGAAAACACAUGACCUUACAUUUUGUGAUAGGCCAAACCUUCUUUUGUCAACAAUAUGGAGUUACAAUGCUACAAAUAUUGUCUUCGCUACAUACUGUGAACAUUGGAGGCAAGUACGAAAGAUAUGUGUUAUAGAGCUAUUAAGUGCAAAGCGUGUCCAAUCAUUUAGGUCCAUAAGAGAAGAUGAAGUGACAAAUCUUGUUAAAUCAAUAACUGCAAGUGAAGGAUCGGUUGUAAAUCUCACUCGGAAGAUUUUCUCAAUGACAAAUGGGAUAACAGCGCGGGCAGCUUUUGGGAAAAGGAAUAGAAACCAAGAUGUGUUCAUAUCAGCAAUGGAGAAAGUAUUGGUGCUAUUAGGAGGAUUUGAAAUUGCAGAUUUGUAUCCUUCUAUUAAAAUGCUUCAAUGCAUGAGUAGGGAGAAGACCAAAAUGGAAAAAAUUCAUAGAGAGCUUGAUAUGAUAAUGCAAGACAUCAUCGACGAUCACAGAAGCAUUCACAAGGAAGCAAGCAACGAUGAAGAUCUAGUAGAUGUUCUUCUCAAGAUUCAACAGGAAAAUUAUUACUCAGAACAUCCUUUAACCGAUGACAAUAUGAAAUCAAUCAUCCAGGUUAGUCUAAAACCAAAAGUGGUAGCAAGUUUAUUUCACAAUUUAAAAACUAGUUUAUAAAUUUGCAUAGCUUAGAAGUCUGAUUUCUAGAGGAAAAAUAAUUAGGAUUAUCUUGAUUAAUAAUAGUAAUUUGGAGAGAACAUCAAAUUAAUGACUUAACUUUUGGGUAGCGUUGUACGUAAUGUUAAUGUUAAUCCAUUUGUAGGAUAUGUUCAUUGCUGGUACCGAAACAUCGUCAGAGGUAUUGUUAUGGGCGAUGUCUGAGAUGGUAAAGAACCCAAAGGUAUUGGAAGAAGCACAGAUUGAAGUAAGAAGAGUGUUUGAUAAAAAGGGGUAUGUGGAUGAGUCAGAGUUGCACCAAUUGAUAUACUUAAAGUCUGUCGUCAAAGAAACAUUGAGGUUACAUCCCGUUGCACCAUUGUUAAUUCCAAGAGAAAGUAUGAAGCCAUGCCAAAUUAAUGGGUAUGAAAUCCCAGCUAAGACAAGGGUAAUGGUUAAUGCUUGGGCUAUUGGAAGAGAUUCAAGGUAUUGGGUUGAAGCUGAGAGUUUUAAACCUGAGAGGUUUGUUAAUAGCACAAUUGAAUUCAAAGGCACGGACUUCGAAUUCAUACCAUUUGGUGCUGGAAGGAGGAUGUGUCCCGGAAUUGCAUUUGCCCUACCAAACAUUGAGCUACCUCUUGCUCAAUUACUUUGCCACUUUGAUUGGAAGCUUCCCAAUAAAAUGAAGAAUGAAGAACUAGAUAUGACCGAGUCAUUUGGGAUUACUGUAGGAAGAAAGCACGAUCUAUGUUUAAUUCCUAUUACUCGUCGUCUUUAAUAUGUAUUUUCUAAGCAAACAAGUUCAGAACGAUGUUCCUUAUAAAAUUUAUGUAUGAUAUUUGUACCACAAAUAUAGAAAUAUUUGUCAAGCAUUGCAUUUGGUUUAGCCUCUUGCUGAAUUAUUUUAUGAAUUUGAUUGAAAGCUUCCCAAUGGAAUGAAUAAUGAAGAACUUGAUAUGAUUGAGAGUCAUUUGGGCUUACAGUCCAAAGAAAACACGACCCAUAUGUUUGGUUCCUAUUACUGGUCGUCUACGAUAUUUAUAUUGUCUAAGCAAACAAGUUCACAAUGUGGUUAGUUUUCUUAUACUACUUUCAGCAAGGUGUAUGAAUCGUUGUUGAUUUUUUUUUUUUUUUUAAGAUUCUACGUUUGACAUUAGUUAGAUAUUCAAUUUAGUUCUUCUUAAGUUAAUCAGUUUGUUCCAACUCCUUCAUCAAAUCAACAUAUGCUAAAGCAUUUGCAUUAUUUUGCACGCCUAUUUUAGUAGGUUUAAUUUGUAAGGAUUAAGAUUUCUUUCUUUAUCUCUCUCUUGGUUUUCUGCGUAGGACCAGGAGAAUGAUGCAACAAAUUUAGGGUAUACUGAAUUUCAUUUAAAAAAUGUACAUCCGGAAAAUGUACAUCCGAUAUGUAAUUAUCGGAUGUGUAUUUAGGGUCUAAGAGAUAUUAGGGGACCUAAAGAGAAAUGUUCGAAAUAUUUUGUGCUUUAGAAAGAGGGAAAAAAGAGACAUGAUUAGGCACAAUUUUUUUCAAGAUUUAAUUCUUAAUAUUAUAAGAUGUAUAUGGCGAACAUGCCGGUUUUUGUUCUUCUUUGCAGUUUUUUUAUAAAUUUUUAUUUACACUAUUAUAAAUAUAUCUUUCAUCCAUUGAUCACAAACCACAGUCCUUCUUUUCUUCAAAAAAAAAAAAAAAACGAAACAAACCACGGUCCUUCUUACUCAUCAGUACAUUUUUCUCAUAUCAUAAUUCUCUCUACUUUCAUAUUCUCUAUCAUGUCUUCUCCUUCUCCUCCGCUAAAAACCAUUAAUCAAUUCGAUCAUAUAAAAAAAACCUUUUGAAACAUAUAUAUCUUCAAAAAAAGCAUUAAGAGGGUUGAAGAAUCAACUCAACAAUUUUUUUAUUUAGCUAACGAUCUUACUUGAAAGGUGACUCAUAUUUAUUAUGGGGAGCCUUUGAUCUCAUUGGCAUCUAAUAAACAUUUUGAUUACUAUCGUGAAUAUAAACUACUUGAGACUAACACGGAAGUACAAGACAUGUUUGCGGAACAAGAGUUUGGAUUGAGUGGUGAUACAUGUACCACCCCAUGUGGCAAUACACCCUUUACACCCAUACAAAAUUCUGACACGUGGCAACCUGGACCCCACACAAAUAGAAGAUAAAGUGUGGUUGUGAGAUGAACUUACCAAAAUAUCCCUAAUACAUAGGGUGUAUAAUGAGGUGUAUGAAUAAAGGGUGUUCAUGUAACAUUUUCCGUUUGGAUUAGAACCGCUUUUUUUGUACGUUAAGUCUGAGUAGAUUAUGAUAAGUAUCUACAAUUAACUUAUGUCAUGUUUGUUUAUCUAAUUUAAUGUAUUUGUAUCUUAGCGCAUUAUCUUCAUGUUGUAAUAAGUUUUUCAAUGAAAUUGCAUUCCUCAUUUAUUCUACAUUGUCUAUUAAUGUGUUUAAUUAACAUAAUAAAAAUUAACGAUAGAGAUGAGUUAAACGAUAAUAAUAACUAUAUGAAGAUAAUUUAAAAUAAAAUAAAAUAGAAAGUAAAUUUAAUAUUGGUAUGAGGAAAAUUCGUGCGAAUAUGACUGUUUUGCUGACACAAUCUACAUUUUCUCGGUGUUUUUUCCACAACAUCCAUUUUAGUCCAAAUACGAAUAUUGUUUGGUCGACCAUUCUUUAGUAUUUGUAUGGCGGGUUUGUGGCAAAGCUUGGGACCUUCAUGUGGGGGACAAUAACUCGUAUCGUGGACUAUUUCGAACCUUGUAUUAUGGGUGGCGUAUAGACUCUCGUUUAAACUUAUGUAUAAUGGUUCGGUAGUCAUGAUGAAAGCUAGAACAUGUGGCUAUAAUAUUAGAGCAAGGCAUAUAUGUAAAGCUUGAAAUUUCUCAUAGUCACACAACUCUGCUUACACGUCUACCUUGAAAGAUCUCAUUGACCUUCCCUCCCUAUAUUUGAUUGUUUCACAGACAGAGAAAGUAUAUAUCUAUCGAUCAAAUCAAUCAACUUGAUGAGGGUUGAACUUACCCACGACUUCCCGAAUCACCUUCAUACAGUAUUUCGUAAAUGGCAUAACCCACCCUUACAUACGCCUCAUGUCAUGUGCUCCCUUCAUAGUAGGUUGAUUGAACAAGAGCUGUGUUAUAAAUCCAAUGAACUUUCCAGCACGAUUUUAAAAAAAUAUAUAUAUUUAAACUAUUGAGAGCUCAACAAAGCAGCAAUAAGAAAAGGAAGAAGGAUCCCACGAAUUUGAAAGACAUUUUUGUAUUGUUUGACGUUCACAUGACACCAAAAAUAGCACAAAAAGCACCUUACCCUUUUCUCGAAACCAGUCUACUACCAAAAAUAGCACAAAUAGCACAAGGAAUAGUGGAUGAUUAUUUCAUGUGGAUAAUACAAAAAAUAUAAUUCCACAAAAAAAAAAAAAAAAAGUUUUCUAAACCGCAAAUUAUUAAUAUGAUGUCUGUUCUUGACUUCCAAAGUUUUCUAAAAUGUUCAUAUAAAAAAAAUAAAAAAAUUUCUAAGUAUUUUGAUUUAGCGAUAUGCUUCUUGUGUAGUGGUUGUUUUAUUUUGACUCCACAAAGUACACCUUAUUCUUCAGUGUGUCUUUUUAUUUAAUUAUUUUGGAUUGGAUGGUAUCAAUAUUUUUAAUUAUACGUGCUUUAGGUGUAUUGGAGGAUAUCAUCCAAUGAGGAGCACCUAUUUUUGACCACACAAAGCACACCUUAUCCUUCAUGUGUGUCUUUAUUAAAAUGCUUUGCAAAUAUAUAAAAAUAUUAACAACAGGCACGUUGGUUGGUGCAAGGAGAAAAUGUUAUUAAUAAAUAAUAUUUCUUUACAUUGGAACGUGUAUCUUAAUGUUAAUACUGUAUUGAUUUUAUAUUAGUAUUUGUUGCGUAUUAAUUAACAUGUCUGCAUUGUAUAGAAAUUGCAAGUGAUCUAAUUUUGAGUGUUUUGCAUAGAAACCUUCUUUGUCAACAAGGCCUUUGGAUUCUUUAGAUCAAACAACCAACAUGGAGCUUCAAAACCCUUUUUCGAAUAUCAUCUUCAUGCUCUCCUUUCUCAUCCUCUUAGUGCUAUUCAAAAUAGUUCAAAGAUGGAGUUUUAACAAUUCCACUACCAAAUUGCCACCAGGACCAUGGAAACUACCCCUCAUAGGAAACAUACACCAGAUUAGUGGCAGCUCACCCCCCCAUCACCUCUUCAAAAAAUUGGCAGAAAAAUAUGGACCUUUGAUGCACCUUAAACUAGGAGAGGUACCAUAUGUAGUAGUUAGUUCACCAGAAAUGGCAAAAGAGAUUAUGAAAACACAUGACAUCACAUUUUGUGAUAGGCCAAAUGUUCUUUUACCUAGAGUAUUUACUUACAAUGCUAGAGAUAUUGCUUUCUCUACAUACGGAGAACUUUGGAGACAAUUACGAAAGAUAUGUGUUGUAGAGCUAUUAAGUGCAAAACGUGUCCAAUCUUUUAGUUUCAUAAGAGAAGAAGAGGUGUCCGAUCUUGUUAAAUCAAUAUCUGCAAAUGAAGGAUCAAUCGUUAAUCUCUCUAAGUCGAUUUUCUCAAUGACUUAUGGGAUCGUGGCACGUUCAGCGUUUGGGAAAAAGAACAGACACCAACAAUUGUUCAAAUCAACAAUAGAGGAAGCAUUGGGCCUAUUGGGAGAAUUUUGUAUUGCUGACUUGUAUCCUUCUAUUAAAAUACUUCAAAAGGUAAGUAGAGUGAAGACCAGAGUUGAGAGAUUACAAGGAGAGAUUGAUAGGAUAUUGCAAGACAUCAUCAAUGAUCAUAGAAACAAUCACAGUAAAACAAGCAAGGAUGAAGACCUAGUUGAUGUUCUUCUCAAGGUUCAACAUGAAAAUGUUCACUCACAACAACCCUUGACUGAUGAAAAUAUAAAAUCAGUCAUUCAGGUUAGUUUACUCACAAUUUAAAUACUAAUAUUUUGAAGAAGAUAUCAAAUUAAUAACCUAUUUUCUUCCAUUACCAUUUGCAGGACUUGUUCAUUGCUGGCAGCGAAACAUCGUCAGGAAUUGUG
rnacentral:lncRNA from 1 species